GAAGAAGGCUGGCGGCUUUCUUCACACAUUCACUUCGAACGUUUAAGGGGUCUGCUUUUGUGUUCCCUGGAUGAGUGGCGAACAGGUGAGUAACACGUGAGUAACCUGCCCCCUUCUUCUGGAUAACCGCAUGAAAGUGUGGCUAAUACGGGAUAUUCUGGGUCUGUCGCAUGAUGGGUCUGGGAAAGAUUGCGCCUUUGGGUGUUUUUGGUGGGGGAUGGGCUCGCGGCCUAUCAGCUUGUUGGUGGGGUUCUUGCCUACCAAGGCGGUGACGGGUAGCCGCAAUGCGAGUGUGGACGGUCAAACUGGGACUGAGACACGGCCCAGAAUCCUACGGGAGGCAGCAGUGGGGAAUAUUGCACAAUGGGCGCAAGCCUGAUGCAGCGACGCCGCGUGAGGGAUGGAGGCCUUCGGGUGGGAAAAAGAUUUAGCCAGUGAAGCAGGCCUGAUAAUUGUGGGUGGGUUGAAGGUAGCUGGAUAAGAAGCGAAGGAUAAAGACGGG
rnacentral:rRNA from 1 species